rnacentral:rRNA from 1 species
AGUGGACGCUGGCGGUAGGCCUAACACAUGCAAGUCGAACGGCAGCACAGUAAGAGCUUGCUCUUACGGGUGGCGAGUGGCGGACGGGUGAGGAAUACAUCGGAAUCUACUUUUUCGUGGGGGAUAACGUAGGGAAACUUACGCUAAUACCGCAUACGACCUACGGGUGAAAGCAGGGGAUCUUCGGACCUUGCGCGAUUGAAUGAGCCGAUGUCGGAUUAGCUAGUUGGCGGGGUAAAGGCCCACCAAGGCGAAGAUCCGUAGCUGGUCUGAGAGGAUGAUCAGCCACACUGGAACUGAGACACGGUCCAGACUCCUACGGGAGGCAGCAGUGGGGAAUAUUGGACAAUGGGCGCAAGCCUGAUCCAGCCAUACCGCGUGGGUGAAGAAGGCCUUCGGGUUGUAAAGCCCUUUUGUUGGGAAAGAAAAGCAGCAGGUUAAUACCCCGCUGUUCUGACGGUACCCAAAGAAUAAGCACCGGCUAACUUCGUG